rnacentral:rRNA from 1 species
UUCAUCCUCGGGGGCAGCAGUGGGGAAUAUUGCACAAUGGGGGGAACCCUGAUGCAGCGACGCCGCGUGAGUGAAGAAGUAUUUCGGUAUGUAAAGCUCUAUCAGCAGGGAAGAAGAUGACGGUACCUGACUAAGAAGCCCCGGCUAACUACGUGCCAGCAGCCGCGGUAAUACGUAGGGGGCAAGCGUUAUCCGGAUUUACUGGGUGUAAAGGGAGCGUAGACGGCAGGGCAAGUCUGGAGUGAAAGCCCGGGGCCCAACCCCGGGACUGCUUUGGAAACUGCCAUGCUGGAGUGCUGGAGAGG